GAUGAAGAACGUAGCGAAAUGCGAUACUUGGUGUGAAUUGCAGAAUCCCGUGAACCAUCGAGUCUUUGAACGCAAGUUGCGCCCGAAGCCAUCAGGUUGAGGGCACGUCUGCCUGGGCGUCACAUAUCGUUGCCCAAUGACUAUUGCAGUGCAAUAGGAAUUUCUAGGGCGAAUGAUGGCUUCCCGUGAGCGUUGUUGCCUCGCGGUUGGUUGAAAAUCGAGUCCUUGGUAGGGUGUGCCAUGGUAGAUGGUGGUCGAGUUAGAACGAUACCGAUCAUGUGCAUGCUCCCCAAAAUAUGGCCUCUAUGACCCACACGCGUCUUUUGACGCUCAUGACGAGACCUCAGGUCAGGCGGGGCUACCCGCUGAAUUUAAGCAUAUCAAUAAGCGGAGGA
rnacentral:misc_RNA from 1 species